rnacentral:rRNA from 1 species
GACGAACGCUGGCGGCGUGCUUAACACAUGCAAGUCGAACGGAAAGGCCCUGCUUUUGUGGGGUGCUCGAGUGGCGAACGGGUGAGUAACACGUGAGUAACCUGCCCUUGACUUUGGGAUAACUUCAGGAAACUGGGGCUAAUACCGGAUAGGAGCUCCUGCUGCAUGGUGGGGGUUGGAAAGUUUCGGCGGUUGGGGAUGGACUCGCGGCUUAUCAGCUUGUUGGUGGGGUAGUGGCUUACCAAGGCUUUGACGGGUAGCCGGCCUGAGAGGGUGACCGGCCACAUUGGGACUGAGAUACGGCCCAGACUCCUACGGGAGGCAGCAGUGGGGAAUAUUGCACAAUGGGCGGAAGCCUGAUGCAGCAACGCCGCGUGCGGGAUGACGGCCUUCGGGUUGUAAACCGCGUUCGCCUGUGACGAAGCGUGAGGGACGGUAAUGGGUAAAGAAGCACCGGCUAACUACGUG